GUCUUUUUUAUUAGGAUGGUUAAUCCCUUCCUACAUGUUCAGGGCGGGUACGGGCCUCCCUGGGCUUCUGGACUAAUUUUCACACGCAAAAGCUUAGAGAUGACUUGGGUGGUAGAAGUUCAGAGCGGGGAGAAAGCUUAGGAAUCGUUCUAGUCAAAUCCUCUUCUUUUACAGAAGAAAGUCCAGUCCAGAAAGAAGGGAUUGGUCCCGUAGCCAUCCAGCCCCUCAGUGACUUAGGCAGGGUUGAAACUCGUAGAUAACUGACAGGCAGAGGUAGCACCAAAAAGGGACCCUCAACCAGAGGUUCCCAGCACCUUUCAUUACCUUAACUGUGCUCUGGGAGCCUUCAGUGCUGUGGAUGGGGUGUGGAUUGCAGCCUGCCUUAGUCUGCUUUUGUGUAAGCCUUUAUUGGCUGCUCAGUAUGGGUCAAGCAGUGGACGAAGCUCUCAUAGCAUGUAUGUCUCACUUAAUCCGAGGCCGUGCCAUCUGGUGCUACAGAGACAGGAUCUGGAGCCAGCAGACCUGGACUCAAGUCCCAGCUCCACUUCUCAAGAGCCACAAGGAUUUGGGCAAGUAACAUCCCCUUCCCACACCUCCCUUUCCUCUGCUGAAAUUGGAGACCAUAGUAGAAUCUCCCAUUGGGUGAGAUAAAGCAUAUAAACCACUUAGCACAGAACCUGCCUGAUAGGAAGUACCUCAGGAAUGUUAGCUUUUGUUUUUUUUAUCAGUCUUACGCACUAGUUGUCUUCAUGUUGAUAUUCAUAGGAGCCAGCUAAAUGUUCUAUUUCACAUCUAUUAUGUAAAUGUACUAUUAAAAGUGUAUGCAGCUAUAGAUGUGUUAGUAACUGCAUCGUAAUCACCUCUAUACAAAUAAUGUUUUUGUGAGAUGAAUGCAUAAACCAAAAUAUUUUACAAAUUAUUUGUAAAAAAAAAAGUCUAUGAUAUUCUUCAAAAACAGAUUAUUUUCUCGUGAU
rnacentral:lncRNA from 1 species